CUUAGGAAGUCUCACAUUCCCUCUAAGAAGCUCACUCACACCUCUAUUGACAAAAGGGCUUCCUCUUUUCACAAUCACCACCACAACUCACAAUCACAGGAAUUUGGUGAUUAAAGAGUUGAGAAUCAGAGUACUCAUGUAGUAUUUGUUAAUUAUUAGAUUGUGGAAGGCAAAUUUUGGGGGAGGAAGGAUCUUGUUCAGGUUUCUGUUUGUAAUCAAGAUCGUAUUUGAAAAAAAAACAAUUAAAAUUUCUCAAGCUCAUUUUUUUCAGGGUUAGUUAGUCCCAGUUUUCCUAUGCUAAUUAUUACUCCACUAAUAUAGUAGAAACUUGCUGUUUUGACCA